UACGGAGGAUGCGAGCGUUAUCCGGAUUUAUUGGGUUUAAAGGGUGCGUAGGCGGGUUAUCAAGUCAGCGGUAAAAUCGUGGAGCUCAACUCCAUCCAGCCCGUUGAAACUGAUGAUCUUGAGUGGGCGAGAAGUAUGCGGAAUGCAUGGUGUAGCGGUGAAAUGCAUAGAUAUCACACAGAACACCGAUUGCGAAGGCAUCUGACGAAUCGGAGAUUGACGCUGAUGCACGAAAGCGUGGGUAUCGAACAGG
rnacentral:rRNA from 1 species